rnacentral:rRNA from 1 species
UACGUAGGGUGCAAGCGUUGUCCGGAAUUAUUGGGCGUAAAGAGCUCGUAGGUGGCCUGUCGCGUCGGCUGUGAAAACUCGGGGCUCAACUCCGAGCUUGCAGUCGAUACAGGCAGGCUAGAGUUCGGCAGGGGGAGACUGGAAUUCCUGGUGUAGCGGUGAAAUGCGCAGAUAUCAGGAGGAACACCGGUGGCGAAGGCGGGUCUCUGGGCCGAUACUGACACUGAGGAGCGAAAGCGUGGGGGAGCGAACAGG